UGAAUACGAGAUGCUACGGCGUCGAAGCAGUCUAUGUCAUACUUCCAAGAAAAGCUUGCACUGUCAUAAACAAAUAAUGCCUGUACCAUAACCGACACAGGUGGGUAGGUAGAGUAUACUAAGGGGCGCGAGAUAACUCUCUCUAAGGAACUCGGCAAAAUGACUCCGUAACUUCGGGAGAAGGAGUGCCUUAUUUUAUAAGGUUGCAAUAACAAGAUCCAAGCAACUGUUUACCAAAAACACAGGUCUCCGCUAAGUCGUAAGACGAUGUAUGGGGGCUGACGCCUGCCCAGUGCCAGAAGGUUAAAGAAGUUGGUUAGCAUCCGCGAAGCUGAUAACUGAAGCCCUGGUGAACGGCGGCCGUAACCAUAACGGUCCUAAGGUAGCGAAAUUCCUUGUCGGGUAAGUUCCGACCCGCACGAAAGGCGUAAUGAUUUGGAUACUGUCUCAGAGAGGGGCUCGGUGAAAUAGACUUGUCUGUGAAGAUGCGGACUACCUGCACCAGGACAGAAAGACCCUAUGAAGCUUUACUGUAACUUGAAAUUGAAAUUGGACUUUACUUGCGCAGUAUAGGUGGGAGGCGUUGAGAAUAUUCUUGCGGGAAUGUUGGAGCCAUCAGUGAGAUACCACUCUUGUAAUGUUAGAUUUCUAACUUUGUAUCAUUAUCUGGUCAAAGGACAGUUUCAGGCGGGCAGUUUGACUGGGGCGGUCGCCUCCCAAACGGUAACGGAGGCGCACAAAGGUUUCCUCUGAACGGGUAGAAAUCGUAUCUAGAGUGUAAGGGCAUAAGGAAGCUUGACUGUGAGACCUACAAGUCGAGCAGGGACGAAAGUCGGUCUUAGUGAUCUGACGGUGCUGAGUGGAAAGGCCGUCACUCAACGGAUAAAAGUUACUCUAGGAUAACAGGCUGAUCUCCCCCAAGAGUUCACAUCGACGGGGAGGUUUGGCACCUCGAUGUCGGCUCAUCGCGUCCUGGGGCGGUAGUACGUCCCAAGGGUUGGGCUGUUCGCCCAUGAAAGCGGUACGUGAGCUGGGUUCAGAACGUCGUGAGACAGUUCGGUCCAUAUCCGGUGUAGGCGUUAGAAUAUUGAGAGGAGCCUUCUUUAGUACAAGAGGACCGAGAAGGACAUACCUCUGGUGUACCAGUUAUCGUGCCAACGGUAAACGCUGGGUAGCUAUGUAUGGAGUGGAUAACCGCUGAAAGCAUCUAAGUGGGAAGCCCACCUCAAGAUAAG
rnacentral:rRNA from 1 species